AUGUUUAUAAAGCUCCGGGGAGAGAACGAUGAGCUCUUCACCGGAGCAAAGAACUCUGCCACUGUGGGAUGGAGGAUAGUUUUGGAGAAGAUGGGCCUGUCUGGUAAAGUGACACCAGCCCAAGCAAAGAAAAAGUGGGACAAUUUAAAAAAGAAAUAUAAAGAAUGCAAGUAUCCAGGGUCAGGAGAGGGAGUGAGUGGGAAGCCCACUGCUGCUACUUGGCCCUGGUUUGUCCAAAUGGAUGAGGUUUUAGGACAAAGGCCUUCAAUUUGCCCCCCUGUCCUUAUUGCCUCCAUCCCUAUGGACACUCCAGGGCCAAGUGCAGCAGUACACCCCAUUUUUCAAAAACAACGGGGAAUCUCACCCCGAAGGAAGCCGAUUGAGUUGGUUCUGGUGCUCUUGCGUGAUUCUGAAAGGUGUGGACACGCCUGGAAAAAACGAGUGCAUCACACCAAGUGCGCGUCGCUUCCAUUAGGCCGGUGACACACUGACUGCGUGGCGUUUCUGUUGCGUGUCAGUUGCGUGGCGGCUGCGUGGUGUUUUCUGUGUCUUUACACACCAGACGCGUGCCUGACGCGGCGCUGGCGUGCUGCUGCUGCUGUAGGGGACAUAGAGGGAGGCCGCCGACAGACCAGGCUCUUGUCUUCAUGACAACAAUUUCAACUUUUUUCACACACCUACACCUUCCAAAAUCCGAAAAAUGGGUAUGUGGGCUGUCUUUUUAUUUCAAUAACAUUUACAAAUUUGUGUAGCUUUAAAGAGCUUAUUUAGCCUACCUGAUGUUGGACCGUCACUCAGAAUACACACUGCGUUGUUAAAAUGGCAUUAAUUAAUAUGUGUUUGUGUACAAAAUUACAAUUUCCUAUUCUAUUUGGCCUGGAAACGCUUCCAACACGCUUGCGUGUUGCGUGAAAAAUAGGCGUCGGUUCUAUUUCUAGCAUGCGCGCGUCUCACACAGGCAGUCUGCAAGCUCUAACCUGUUAACAUGGGAGCCGAAAUAAAAACGGACACGCCACGCA
ensembl:lncRNA